CAAAUUCGGAGUGGCAUUCUCCUCCUCCUCCCAAUGCCCUUCGAUAGGUCAGCGAUACUCCUCCUCCUCCCUUCGCUGACCACCCAAAUGACGCUCACCGGAUCCUCCUCCCCCGGUGAGCGUUAUUU
rnacentral:sRNA from 1 species